GUGAGGAAUUUUCCGCAAUGGGCGAAAGCCUGACGGAGCAAUGCCGCGUGAAGGAUGAAGGCCUAUGGGUUGUAAACUUCUUUUCUCAGAAAAGAAUUAUGACGGUAUCUGAGGAAUAAGCAUCGGCUAACUCUGUGCCGGCAGCCGCGGUAAGACAGAGGAUGCAAGCGUUAUCCGGAAUGAUUGGGCGUAAAGCGUCUGUAGGUUGUUUAAAAAGUAUUCUGUCAAAGAUUAGGGCUUAACCCUAGAUAGGCAGAAUAAACUUUUAAGCUAGAGGUUGGUAGGGGCAGAGGGAAUUCCCGGUGGAGCGGUGAAAUGCGUAGAUAUCGGGAGGAACAACAAAGGCGAAGGCACUCUGCUGGGCCAAUACUAACACUGAGAGACGAAAGCGAGGGGAGCAAAUGGGAUUAGAUACCCCUGUAGUCC
rnacentral:rRNA from 1 species